UCCCAGACUCCUACGGGAGGCAGCAGUGGGGAAUAUUGGGCAAUGGGCGCAAGCCUGACCCAGCAACGCCGCGUGAAGGAAGAAGGCUUUCGGGUUGUAAACUUCUUUUAAGAGGGAAGAGCAGAAGACGGUACCUCUUGAAUAAGCCACGGCUAACUACGUGCCAGCAGCCGCGGUAAUACGUAGGUGGCAAGCGUUGUCCGGAUUUACUGGGUGUAAAGGGCGUGCAGCCGGGAGUGCAAGUCAGAUGUGAAAUCCCGCGGCUCAACCGCGGAACUGCAUUUGAAACUGUGCUUCCUGAGUGCUGGAGAGGCAGACGGAAUUCCUAGUGUAGCGGUGAAAUGCGUAGAUAUUAGGAGGAACACCAGUGGCGAAGGCGGCCUGCUGGACGAUGACUGACGUUGAGGCUCGAAAGCGUGGGGAGCAAACAGGAUUAGAUACCCCUGUA
rnacentral:rRNA from 1 species